rnacentral:lncRNA from 1 species
GGGAAGUUAUAACCAGUAUUUAUUUGUCUGUUCUUUACAAUGUAAUUUUCUCUGCUGUUUCCUGCUUAAGGUAUUUCUGGAAAUUGGGAGACACUUCUCAUGAAAUCAGAAAGCCAUCCCAGUAUCAUCAAAUGGGAAAAUAUAGAUGGAGCCUAUGAAAGAUGAUACGCAAUAUCAUUCCAAUAUUUUAUGGCAAGUGAAAUGUGGAUAAAAUGAACACCAAGAACAGCAUUGAAUGGAGAAUGAGUUCAGGACAUGUAACAGAGUGUUGUUACAGAUGACAGAUUUUCAGAUGAUCUAGAUUUUCUCCAUGCAACCAGAUACCUGGAUUAAUGCCUCCAAUUUGUGGGAAGGUCAAAAUAGAGACUUAAGGAGAAAGCAACCUGGCUUUCUGAAGCCCCCUUCCACCACCACUAGCAUCUUAUAGAACUGUAAAUCAGAACAAAGGGGUGAGAAGAGACCAACAAGAACAUAAGACCUGACAUGCUUGUGAAGAAUGACAGGCUCAAACUUCUGUCAUUAUGAAGAGGGUUGUUCAUUAUUCCAAAAACUGCUAAGAACAGGAUUGCUACCCAAGCAGAAGAGAAUCUGUUUUAAGUGCAUUUUGCUUCUUAGGAAAGAAAAAUAUAUUUGA